GCCCGCCUAGCUCAAUCGGAUAGAGCGUCAGACUUUUAUGACCAGGCGGUUAAUCUGAAGGCUGCGAGUUCGACCCUCGCGGUGGGCU